rnacentral:rRNA from 1 species
GUAGUCAUAUGCUUGUCUCAAAGAUUAAGCCAUGCAUGUGUAAGUAUAAGUAUUGUACGGCGAAACUGCGAAUGGCUAAUUAAAACAGUUAUUGUUUAUUUGAUAAUCGAAAGUUACAUGGAUAACCGUGACAAAUUACAGCUAAUACAUGCAUUCAGACCUCUAUGAGGGUGGAAUUUUUAAUACUAAACCAAUUCCUUCGGGAAUGGGAUGAAUCAUAGUAAUCGAACGAAUCGCAAAUUUCUGCGAUAAAUCAUUCAAGUUUCUGCCCUAUUAGCUUUGGAUGUUAGUGUAUUGGACUACCAUGGCAAUCAUGGGUAACGGAGAAUUAGGGUUCGAUUCCGGAGAGGGAGCCUGAGAAAUGGCUACCCCAUCUACGGAAGGCAGCAGGCGCGAAAAUUUGCCCAAUCCUGAUUCAGGGGAGGCAGUGACAAGAAAUAACAACUCUCGACUAUGUUGAGAAGUGUAAUGAGGAUAAUUUACAAACCUUACCGAAAGCAAUUGGAGGGCAAGUCUGGUGCCAGCAGCC